rnacentral:tRNA from 1 species
GGGUGCUUAGCUCAGUUGGGAGAGCGCCGCCCUUACAAGGCGAAGGUCGGGGGUUCAAAUCCCUCAGCACCCA